AUUGAACGCUGGCGGCAGGCCUAACACAUGCAAGUCGAGCGGAAACGAAGGGAGCUUGCUCCCAGGCGUCGAGCGGCGGACGGGUGAGUAACACGUGAGAAUCUGCCCAUUAGUGGGGGACAACUCGGGGAAACUCGAGCUAAUACCGCAUACUGCCUACGGGGGAAAGCAGGGGACCUUUUGGCCUUGCGUUGAUGGAUGAGCUCACGUCGGAUUAGCCUGUUGGUGAGGUAAUGGCUCACCAAGGCGACGAUCCGUAGCUGGUCUGAGAGGAUGAUCGGCCACACUGGGACUGAGACACGGCCCAGACUCCUACGGGAGGAAGCAGUGGGGAAUCUUGGACAAUGGGGGCAACCCUGAUCCAGCCAUGCCGCGUGUGUGAAGAAGGCCUUCGGGUUGUAAAGCACUUUCAGCAGGGAGGAAGGCUUUGGCCGAAUAGGUUGAAGUACUUGACGUUACCUGCAGAAGAAGCAUCGGCUAAUUUCGUGCCAGCCGCCGCCGUAA
rnacentral:rRNA from 1 species